UCCUGGUGGCUCAGACAGUAAAGAAUCUGCCUGCAAUGCAGAAGACCCGGGUUUGAUCCCUGGAUCUGGAA
rnacentral:tRNA from 1 species